rnacentral:rRNA from 1 species
UGAGCUGUGAUGGGGAGAAGACAUUGUGUCUUCGAGUCGUUGAUUUCACACUGCCGAGAAAAGCCUCUAGAUAGAAAAUAGGUGCCCGUACCGCAAACCGACACAGGUAGUCAAGAUGAGAAUUCUAAGGUGAGCGAGCGAACUCUCGUUAAGGAACUCGGCAAAAUGACCCCGUAACUUCGGGAGAAGGGGUGCUCUUUAGGGUUAACGCCCAGAAGAGCCGCAGUGAAUAGGCCCAAGCGACUGUUUAUCAAAAACACAGGUCUCUGCUAAACCGUAAGGUGAUGUAUAGGGGCUGACGCCUGCCCGGUGCUGGAAGGUUAAGAGGAGUGGUUAGCUUCUGCGAAGCUACGAAUCGAAGCCCCAGUAAACGGCGGCCGUAACUAUAACGGUCCUAAGGUAGCGAAAUUCCUUGUCGGGUAAGUUCCGACCCGCACGAAAGGCGUAACGAUUUGGGCACUGUCUCAACGAGAGACUCGGUGAAAUCAUAGUACCUGUGAAGAUGCAGGUUACCCGCGACAGGACGGAAAGACCCCGUGGAGCUUUACUGUAGCCUGAUAUUGAAAUUCGGCACAGCUUGUACAGGAUAGGUAGGAGCCUUUGAAACGU